rnacentral:rRNA from 1 species
AUUGAACGCUGGCGGCAGGCUUAACACAUGCAAGUCGAGCGAGCGGCGGACGGGUGAGUAAUGUCUGGGAAACUGCCUGAUGGAGGGGGAUAACUACUGGAAACGGUCGCUACUACCGCAUACCAUCAGAUGUGCCCAGAUGGGAUUAGCUAGUAGGUGGGGUAAUGGCUCACCUAGGCGACGAUCCCUAGCUGGUCUGAGAAGAUGACCACCCACACGGGAACGGAGACACGGUCAAGACUCCUACGGGAGGCAGCAGUGGGGAAUAUUGCACAAUGGGCGCAAGCCUGAUGCAGCCAUGCCGCGUGUGGGAAGAAGGCCUUCGGGUUGUAAAGCACUGUCAGCGAGGAGGCGUUACUCGCAGAAGAAGCACCGGCUAACUCCGUGCCAGCAGCCGCGGUAAUUC